rnacentral:rRNA from 1 species
CCAAUAGCGUAUAUUAAAGUUGUUGCAGUUAAAAAGCUCGUAGUUGAAUUUCGGGGUUCAUACGUUGGUCGGGCUUUUUGGUCUGUACUAGCGUAAUGGAUUCCUACCUUCUGAAUAACCGGCAUGCCAUUAAUUUGGUGCGCCGGGGAAGCAGGACUGUUACCUUGAAAAAAUUAGAGUGCUUAAAGCAGGCUAUCGCCUGAAUACAUUAGCAUGGAAUAAUGAAAUAGGACGGCAUGGUUCUAUUUUGUUGGUUUCUAGGAUCACCGUAAUGAUUAAUAGGGAUAGUUUGGGGCAUUAGUAUUCAAUUGUCAGAGGUGAAAUUCUUGGAUUUAUUGAAGACUAACUUCUGCGAAAGCAUUUGCCAAGGAUGUUUUCAUUAAUCAAGAACGAAAGUUAGGGGAUCGAAGACGAUCAGAUACCGUCGUAGUCUUAACCAUAAACUAUGCCGACUAGGGAUCGGACGAUGUUAAUUUUUUAAUGACUCGUUCGGCGCCUUACG